rnacentral:rRNA from 1 species
AGCGCAGGCGGUGCGGCAAGUCUGAUGUGAAAGCCCGGGGCUCAACCCCGGUACUGCAUUGGAAACUGUCGUACUAGAGUGUCGGAGGGGUAAGCGGAAUUCCUAGUGUAGCGGUGAAAUGCGUAGAUAUUAGGAGGAACACCAGUGGCGAAGGCGGCUUUCUGGACUGAAACUGACACUGAGGCACGAAAGCGUGGGGAGCAAACA